rnacentral:rRNA from 1 species
CCUACGUGAGGCAGCAGUAGGGAAUCUUCCACAAUGGGCGAAAGCCUGAUGGAGCAACGCCGCGUGGGUGAAGAAGGUCUUCGGAUCGUAAAACUCUGUUGUUAGAGAAGAAAGUGCGUGAGAGUAACUGUUCACGUUUCGACGGUAUCUAACCAGAAAGCCACGGCUAACUACGUGCCCGCAGCUGCGGUAAUACGUAGGUGGCAAGCGUUAUCCGGAUUUAUUGGGCGUAAAGGGAACGCAGGCGGUCUUUUAAGUCUGAUGUGAAAGGCUUCGGCUUAACCGGAGUAGUGCGUUGGAAACUGGGAGACUUGAGUGCAGAAGAGGAGAGUGGAACUCCAGGUGUAGCGGUGAAAUGCGUAGAUAUAUGGAAGAACACCAGUGGCGAAGGCGGCUCUCUGGUCUGUAACUGACGCUGAGGUUCGAAAGCGUGGGUAGCAAACAGGAUUAGAUACCCCUGUAGUC